CUCAAGCUCAUGGGGAAGCUUUCCUUCUCUUUCACCUGCCCUCCAUCACUGAUGCCGCCCACGGCCUUUUCAACGCCAACACCCAACUCAGUAAACUCGACGUCGACCACGGCCCCGACGUCGACCGCCGACUCUUGUUGGGCUUUCGAGUUUCAUCUGUUUUCCUCACCCAAGCUCCCAUUUCAUCCAUGUUCUCGCGAGUCCACCACACCUGCAACUCCCUCCUAAAGGCUUCUGGCCUAAUCAUUUAUGUUGCGGAGCUAACAAGAAAUCAAAGAUAACUGUUAAAGAAAUUUACAGCUUCCUAAUGGAUCAUAGAAGUGAAGGACAGCCCGAUUUCAAGUGGAUUUGGAAGACAUCAAUGUCCCCCAAAGUUGACAUCUUCUGUGAUGAUGUUGCUUUUGCAUCGAAGAAUUGGCCAGAAGUCCCAUGGUUGUUUAAGCAUCUGUAAUUGCCAGCACGGUGGAAUGAAGUUGCAUUCUUGAACUCCUUUUACAUUUUCAGAACAUUCACAAGGCAUGGCCGAAAGAUGGAGUUCACAUCAGAUCAGUGCUGGAUUGAGGUGACAUUGAUGGCACAUUGUUUACCUGGAUUUGUAAAAUCCUACUUGCUAGAAACUGUUGCAACUUUUUGCUAAUUGCCGUGCCAUUCCCAGUUGAUGCACGUAGUAUCUACUCACCCACAUGCUCAAUGAAGCCAAUCUGCUGGAUUUUCACGAAAAAUAGAAUUCUUGUUUUCCUCUAGACACUUGAUUGGGUUUCGAGAGACAUCAAAUUUGCCCUUGGGUGUAUAUAUAUAUUUAUAGAAGGUAGUUGUGAGUUUCCAUGUUGGCACAUGUUUACUCUUACAUCCAUUGUACAUUGGAGAGAUUGGAUCCUUAUAAAGGACAAAGGAACUAAAAUAACACCUUAAAGCUAGUCUUCUUAGGUAAGGCCCUCAAAUUGUCAUAAAUGCUAUCAAAGUAGACUCGAUUAAUAGCCUUUGUAUGACUAAGAGACAUUGCAAUACAAAUCUUUUUGGAUUGACCAAGGAUCAUUCAUAAUGCUUAUGACUGUAAUUGAUUGGAUUUAGCUCGUAACUUAAUGAGAAUGCCAAAGUUUAAAAGCUGAAUAUGUAUGAGAACCCAUGCAAGGCAUGUACUUAAUCCUAGAUGGAUUAUAUGUUGACAAAAUCAUAUAUAUUUGUACAAAAAUAAAAAAUCUAAUAAUACCUUAUGGCUAAUUUUUUAGUAAAAUCAUCAUACUUUAUUAAAAAGCAAUUAAAGUUAAGAAAUUUCAAUUCCUAAAAAAUAUG